UCUCUUUGCAUUUAUGUGCAGACGACACAAAAAAUAAACAUAGUACCUAAGACUGAAGAAGAAGAAUCAAGAAGACAGGAGAGGACGGAAAAUAAAAUUAAGUGAACUUCAGACUUUUGAUUUGGGAAUAAUUUUUCAAGAGAAGCAAUUUUCACAGGAAUGUGUUAAAGGUUGAUGGCAGUAAGCAAGUCACUUGCACUUCGCAGAUUUUUCAAAAGGUGGGGUGUUUCUAUUUUCUUCCCUACAUUUUACGGGGACACUGAUUUUUGCAGACUACAAUCAUACACGCAAGUGGAAAUUGUCACAGCUGAAAUUGAAGCAGACAGAAGUAAUACUUAAUUA